UAUACCACUCUUCUUGGUGUAAAACUGGAAUAUUUUGAAUUCUUAUGGUAAUUUUUCUUGCCUGCUAACCUGAAACUUUAUUUUUACUCUCUAUGUUGGCCUAAACACUACUGCAGACCCUUACAAUGAACCUCUUAAGCUAAGACUGGUGCCAGCCCGUGAAACAUCUUUCAGGAGAGGUGCUCCAGCUCAAUUGCACAAACACCAGUGCUGUCAAAGUUAUACAGCUUUUUAUGCUUUCUCUUCUGUGGAGGCAUGAAAGACAGCUCUCAACCAAGCAUUUUUGUUAGCAAGGGUUUCAAAACG